CCUUACAAAUGCAAAUCAAAUACAGGUUUUUGUCAGCUUAUCUGGAAAUCUUGGGACAUCACUGAUUUGAUCAAGAAUUUAUCCAGGAUGAAGUCCAGCCAUGUGCCUCACCUGUCAUGACAUUAUUAAAGCACUUUGUGACAGUGGGAAGAUGGAAUUUAAAACAUGACAUGGCUCUAUAUUACUACAUCAGAGACCAAUC